UAGGGAAUCUUCCACAAUGGACGCAAGUCUGAUGGAGCAACGCCGCGUGAGUGAAGAAGGUUUUCGGAUCGUAAAGCUCUGUUGUUGGUGAAGAAGGAUAGAGGCAGUAACUGGUCUUUAUUUGACGGUAAUCAACCAGAAAGUCACGGCUAACUACGUGCCAGCAGCCGCGGUAAUACGUAGGUGGCAAGCGUUGUCCGGAUUUAUUGGGCGUAAAGCGAGCGCAGGCGGAAUGAUAAGUCUGAUGUGAAAGCCCACGGCUCAACCGUGGAACUGCAUCGGAAACUGUCAUUCUUGAGUGCAGAAGAGGAGAGUGGAAUUCCAUGUGUAGCGGUGGAAUGCGUAGAUAUAUGGAAGAACACCAGUGGCGAAGUCGGCUCUCUGGUCUGCAACUGACGCUGAGGCUCGAAAGCAUGGGUAGCGAACAGG
rnacentral:rRNA from 1 species